AAAGUAUCUGAUAUUCAAUUUUGGAACUCAAGCAAUCAUUUCAUGGGCCUAUGCGCGCCCAUGCACCAUUUCAUCAUCAUUUGCCAAAUUUGGAAAGUGAAAGUGAGUGUGCAAUUAUCAACCAAUUCAGCUAUAAAUAGAGCUUCAAUUGCUCAGAAUUUGAUACACAUUGGCGCCAACUUUGGUCCCCCACUUCAAACCCUACAGAGGAUAACCCUGAUAAAUUCUUUUGAAUUUGAGCUUGAAUCUCCACUGUUUUGGAAUUCAAUUCUCCAGGAAUC
rnacentral:lncRNA from 1 species